AGAUAAAGAGGGUCCUCUCCUUGGACAGGAAAUCCGUGCAGUGGCGGCGAUGUAUAAGACGUAGAUGCACCAUUGAAGGGGAAGAGGAGAGAAAAAUCACACACACUCACACACAGAAGAGGAGGGGAGGAGAGUGUGUGAGAGAGAGAGAGAGAGAGAGAGAGAGAGAGAGAGAGAGAGAGAGAGAGAGAGAGAGAGAGAGAGAGAGAGAGAGAGAGAGAGAGAGAGAGAGAGAGAGAGAGAGAGAGAGAGAGAGAGUGCGAGAGAGAGAGAGAGAGAGAGAGAGAGAGAGCAGAUGGACGCGACACAGAGACGGAGCCAUGUAGUGAAUCUCACCGAGCGGCCGUGACUGCGAGGUGGUUACCGCAGGGAUAAGACGGAGAGCACGCCGGACCGAGGAAUGGACGGACAGACGGGCGGCCGGACAGAGGGACGGCGGGGAAAGCAUGUGAAGGAAUAAGCAGAAGCCAGGAGGAAGGAGGAGGGAGGAGGACGAGGAGGACGAGGUAGAGGAGGAGGUGGAAACUGCACUCCAGUGUUAAGAAGAGGAGAGACGGCGAGGAUUCAAGAAACAGACGAGCUAGAGGGAUUACUAGUUACGGUCCUGCAAUACACCAAAACAAACAAACAGGAGGCCCAACUGGCGCACGACUGCAGGCACACUCACAGUGUCCUCCUCUGAUGGACUUUGUGAACACAAGUCGUCCACUGUUUGGCCCAGCCCCUAUGUUCUGGCCAGGGGUCCCAUGCUGGCAGAUGGAGGGGUUUUAAGACCCUCUGCAGCAGUAGCAGCAGCAUGCACACAAACUCACACACACACACACACAUAAACACAGACACGCACGCACACACAAACGCACACACAUACACACACAGGCACAC
ensembl:lncRNA